AAUCAACGCUGGCGGCGUGCCUAACACAUGCAAGUCGAACGCGAAAGCCCCGCAAGGGGUAAGUAGAGUGGCAAACGGGUGAGUAACACGUGGGUGACCUGCCUUCGAGUGGGGGAUAACGUCCCGAAAGGGACGCUAAUACCGCAUGACAUCCUGCUUUUGAAAAAGCGGAGAUCAAAGCUGGGGAUCGCAAGACCUAGCGCUUGAAGAGGGGCCCGCGCCUGAUUAGCUAGUUGGUGGGGUAACGGCUCACCAAGGCGACGAUCAGUAUCCGGCCUGAGAGGGCGGACGGACACACUGGGACUGAGACACGGCCCAGACUCCUACGGGAGGCAGCAGUGGGGAAUUGUUCGCAAUGGGCGCAAGCCUGACGACGCAACGCCGCGUGGAGGACGAAGAUCUUCGGGUCGUAAACUCCUGUCGAGCGGGACGAACGCUUCGCGGAUGAAUAAUCCGCGGAAUUGACGGUACCGCUAAAGGAAGCCCCGGCUAACUCCGUG
rnacentral:rRNA from 1 species